ensembl:lncRNA
CCGGAAGUUGGACGGCAGGUAGCAACAGCUAAGAAAACUUCGGAUUUCAGGACCUGUACUGAGUUCAGGAGAUGGACAACUGGAGAAGACACGAUACAGGAAGGUUGGGAGUGAAAACUUUCAGAGCUGGAGCAGAAUUAAGUUGGUUUGCUUCACCCAAAGAUAUUUCCUGACAUGGAUUUGAAGGUAUGAAACUGAAGUAGCCAAAACAAAACAUAAGUUAUUGAUGACUUGUGCCACUUGGAAGCUGGAUUUGACUGUUGAGAAGUUCUUAAUGGAAUUAAAAAUCGACCUGAGAAGGAUGGAGGGGAUUUUGCCCACGAAAUGGUGCUCAGGACUAAUCAUUGGAUGCUGCAAAGGCUUUGGUGUCAAGGAUUCAACCCUACAUUGAAGACAUGAUCAGAUGCAGAAGGGAGCUCUUGUGUUGGAGUGAGGAGACAGGGCGGCCUGUUCUGCCAGGAGCCUCUUACGAUGACUAUUACAACACAUGAAGGAGGCCGGCUGCAGCUAAACGGAGUUAUAUAGAGGCCAGAAGGACAAGCAUUAGCUUCAUCUAAAAACAGCACCAUCUAGGGUUCAUAUCCCAUCAUAGCUGCAAGCAGCAGGAAGGCAAAGUAGG